rnacentral:pre_miRNA from 13 species
AUUUUAGACACAUCUCAUCUAAUACACAAUAUUUUCUUAAAUGGUAUAAAGAGAAAUUAUUGUAUAUCAGAGGAGGUGUGUCUGGGAU